AGCUCCUUAGCUCAGGGGAAGAGCGCUGGGCUCAUAGGUAUCCAAACACCAUCGAAACCCAGAGGUCGUCUGAUCGAAACGGACAGGAGCUA